GAAUGCCAGGGGCGACAGCAGUGUGAAUUUUCUUCUGCUUCUUCAACCUCUCCCUCAACGAAGGACUUGAAGAGUGAGGAUAUCUCAGUUUUAUAUCCUCCUGCAAAAUGAGACUGCUGGCAAGGAUCCCUAGAUCAUAAGGAACAAAGAGCUUAUGUGAAAAGAAGAGUACAGGAGAAGAUCUUAAUAGAUUCUGUCCCAUCAGAAACUGAAAUACAGCAACAUGAAAAGAGAAAACAUGCUGUCUAGCUUCUCUGAAGCUGUUUGCUAAUGACCUCCAAUGAACUAGAAGAUGUUAGGGAGCGUAGUCUCAGCUUGAAGCCUGAGAGAAGAAAACAUAGGCAGAGAGAAGGAUGCAAAGAAAGUGAAAGAGAGAAUGGAGAUAGUCAAUAAUUAUUUUCCAACAACAAAAAAACCCUAAUCAGGCAGCAAAUUUUUGAUAGCUUUCAUGCUGCCUGACCUACAAUGUUAUGUCUAGGCCAACAGGAAAAAGAGCAGCAGUUUUGGAGGGCAUGAAAGUAGACUCACAGAACAAUAAAAUAAUAGAGCAAAUUGAAAAGGGGAGAAGGUAUAAAAAUGCAAAUUAAAAUAUAUUAAAUUGAGCAUUUUAUAGAAGAUAUCUGAAUGAUUGCCACUUAUUAUUGGUGAAAUAUAACUCGUUAUGUAGCAUAUACUAAAUAUUUUAAUAAAGAAAAUAAUAGGGUCAGGUCAAAAGAUUUUCAAUCCAA